GACGAACGCUGGCGGCGUGCUUAACACAUGCAAGUCGAACGGAAAGGCCCUGCUUUUGUGGGGUGCUCGAGUGGCGAACGGGUGAGUAACACGUGAGUAACCUGCCCUUGACUUUGGGAUAACUUCAGGAAACUGGGGCUAAUACCGGAUAGGAGCUCCUGCUGCAUGGUGGGGGUUGGAAAGUUUCGGCGGUUGGGGAUGGACUCGCGGCUUAUCAGCUUGUUGGCGGGGUAGUGGCUUACCAAGGCUUUGACGGGUAGCCGGCCUGAGAGGGUGACCGGCCACAUUGGGACUGAGAUACGGCCCAGACUCCUACGGGAGGCAGCGGUGGGGAAUAUUGCACAAUGGGCGGAAGCCUGAUGCAGCAACGCCGCGUGCGGGAUGACGGCCUUCGGGUUGUAAACCGCUUUCGCCUGUGACGAAGCGUGAGUGACGGUAAUGGGUAAAGAAGCACCGGCUAACUACGUG
rnacentral:rRNA from 1 species